rnacentral:rRNA from 1 species
CUAAGAAUCUUCCGCAAUGGGGGAAACCCUGACGGAGCGACGCCGCGUGGGCGAUGAAGGCCGGAAGGUUGUAAAGCCCUUUUCUUGGCGAAGAAUAAGGCUGGGGAUGGACUACCCAGCUGAUGACGUUAGCCGAGGAAUAAGCCCCGGCCAAUUACGUGCCAGCAGCCGCGGUAACACGUAUGGGGCGAGCGUUGUUCGGAGUUAUUGGGCGUAAAGGGCGUGUAGGCGGCUCUCGCAAGCUUGGUGUUAAAGGUUUCGGCUUAACCGGAACAGUGCGCUGAGAACUGCGGAGCUGGAGUCUAGGAGGGGGAGCUGGAAUUCCAGGUGUAGGGGUGAAAUCUGUAGAUAUCUGGAAGAACACCGGUGGCGAAGGCGAGCUCCUGGCCAUAGACUGACGCUGAGGCGCGAAAGCGUGGGGAGCAAACAGG